CACGUGGAGGUGCGAGCGUUGUCCGGAAUUAUUGGGCGUAAAGAGCUCGUAGGCGGUGUGUCGCGUCGGCCGUGAAAACCUGUGGCUUAACUAUGGGCUUGCGGUCGAUACGGGCAUCACUGGAGUUCGGCAGGGGAGACUGGAAUUCCUGGUGUAGCGGUGAAAUGCGCAGAUAUCAGGAGGAACACCGGUGGCGAAGGCGGGUCUCUGGGCCGAUACUGACGCUGAGGAGCGAAAGCGUGGGGAGCGAACAGG
rnacentral:rRNA from 1 species